GAUGAACGCUGGCGGCGUGCUUAACACAUGCAAGUCGAGCGAGAAAAGUUCUUCGGAGCUUUUCUAGCGGCGGACGGGUGAGUAACACGUGGGCAACCUGCCUCAUAGAGGGGAAUAGCCUUCCGAAAGGAAGAUUAAUACCGCAUAACAUUGUUGAAAGGCAUCUUUUAACAAUCAAAGGAGCAAUCCGCUAUGAGAUGGGCCCGCGGCGCAUUAGCUAGUUGGUGAGGUAACGGCUCACCAAGGCGACGAUGCGCAGCCGACCUGAGAGGGUGAUCGGCCACAUUGGGACUGAGACACGGUCCAGACUCCUACGGGAGGCAGCAGUGGGGAAUAUUGCACAAUGGGGGAAACCCUGAUGCAGCAACGCCGCGUGAGUGAUGAAGGUCUUCGGAUUGUAAAGCUCUGUCUUUAGGGACGAUAAUGACGGUACCUAAGGAGGAAGCCACGGCUAACUACGUGCCAGCCGCCGCCGUAAAAC
rnacentral:rRNA from 1 species